CGCACAUUGCGCCCCUUGGUAUUCCAUGGGGCAUGCCUGUUCGAGCGUCAUUUGUACCCUCAAGCUCUGCUUGGUGUUGGGUGUUUGUCCUAUCCUCUGCGACUGGACUCGCCUUAAAAUUAUUGGCAGCCGGCAUAUUGGCCUUGGAGCGCAGCACAUUUUGCGAGUCAAGCCUUUACACUGGCGUCCAUUAAGCCUUUUUAUCACUUUUGACCUCGGAUCAGGUAGGGAUACCCGCUGAACUUAA
rnacentral:misc_RNA from 1 species